GAUAUAUAGAUCAAGGCCGCAACCCUCAGCUUUACACUAAAGAGUGUCUGGAGCGAGCUUUGGCUAAAAAUGAGCAAGUGAAAGGAAAAAUUGACACUAUGAAGAAAUUUAAAAGCCUGUUAAUUCAAGAACUGACAAAGGUGUUCCCAGAAGAUAUGGCAAAGUACAAAGCUAUUAGAGGAGAAGAUCCUCCUCCUUAAGUUGGCCUUUGAUAGCUCUAAAAAUGUCCCAUAAACUUAUACAACACCUUAUAAAAACAUUGAUUGGAGAGAGAAGGAAUUCAAGCCCUCCUAACAACUGUACUAAAAAUAGCAGUAGUGACUGUAAAGGAGCUUGAUGGCUGUUCAUGGUUCUGGUCUGAAGCUGCUGAAUCUGAAGACUUCUACUCAGUGAUUGUGGUUGAAACUUCCUAUGGUACACUUCUUUCCUGAAGGGUUUGAGAAAUGUAAUUUCCUACAGGUCAUCAGUGCAGAGCAUUUCCCACAAAGCCCAUUUGCAUAGCAGAAAAACAUGUUUUACUUGUCUUCUGGAAAGUGUGCCUCAGGAUUGUGGGCUCAUCUGUUUUUUUAAGAGAAAUGCAUUUAUUAUACUUGAUUGUUUUUCAUUUGUAAACGUCAGGGGUUCUUUACUGCAGUGUGAACAUCUGACUGCUUUUGUUUUGCCAAAUUCUACUGAGCAGGAGCCUGUCAAGGGCUGCACUUCUCAUGUGUCAUAAUUAGUUGCAGCCAGGAAAACCUUCAGAUCUUGUUUUGUUCUGGGAGCUGCAGUGCAGAUGGCUGAGGAUACAAAAAGUGAGCAUACCUGGGGACUAGCUCCUCUACAACUUUAAUAUUUUGUACAGUAUUUAAUGUAAGCUUUUGUUUAUUCAUUUUCUGCAAGCAGGUUGUUGAAUAAAAAUUUGAAAAAAU